rnacentral:rRNA from 1 species
AAACUGGGAUUAGAUACCCCACUAUGCUCAACCGUUAACACAGAUAGAAUCACCACACCUCUACCCGCCAGAGAAUUACAAGCCACAACUCAAAACUCAAAGGACUUGACGGUGUCCCAAACCAACCUAGAGGAGCCUGUCCUAUAAUCGAUAAUCCACGUUACACCCCGCCCCCCCUUGAAACCAGCCUGUAUACCGCCGUCUUUCAGUUCACCUUAUGACAGACCCAAAGCGAACACAUUAGCCUAACACUAAAACGUCAGGUCAAGGUGCAGCCAAUGAGGGGGCAGAGAUGGGAUACAUUUUCUGCCACAACAGAAC